UACGUAGGGAGCAAGCGUUGUCCGGAAUUAUUGGGCGUAAAGCGCACGUAGGCGGUCCAGCAAGUCGGGUGUGAAAGCCCUCGGCUUAACCGAGGAAGUGCAUUCGAAACUACUGGACUUGAAUACUGAAGAGGAUCGCGGAAUUCCCGGUGUAGAGGUGAAAUUCGUAGAUAUCGGGAGGAACACCAGUGGCGAAGGCGGCGAUCUGGGCAGAUAUUGACGCUGAGGUGCGAAAGCGUGGGGAGCAAACAGG
rnacentral:rRNA from 1 species